UAUUUCCUGUGAGCGUCGGCUGGACGACUACGAAUAUUCAACGCAGAACUCUGAACUGCCAUAGAUCCACUAGUCUAAAGAAAGAAAAGCAAAGGUUCUUCGUGUCUCCACAGUGAUUUCUCAGUAUUGCUGAUUCAGAAGUUGAAUUCAUGAAGCUGAGGAUAGAGGAUACUUUGAAAAGAAUAAUCUAAACCAUUAUCAUGAACAACUUCUUUAGUGAUGAAGAGCCCAAAUCCAAAGCCUUUUCCUAAGAAAAACUUGCACAGCAGGGAAAAUCUUCAAGGAAACUAAAAAGGGAACAGUUUUGACAAGUGAAUCUUGGUGCCAUCAAGGAAUGAACGAAAAGGGAAUAUCAAUCUCAUCCAAUACAUCAACGAAAAAACACAGAGGAAAAUAACAGCAUACAGGACAUCACCUGGAACUCAACCAUAGGUUUAUGUAUUUAGAUGGCAUUGACCUCCGUGAGAACAGCAAUUUUAAAAGUUCUGUUCAAUAUGACUAAUGCAGACAUGCCAACAUCAGAAAGUUGAUCACUCUCUUGAGUUAUUAGUAAAUGAAAUAUAUCAAUGGUAUAGUGCUUUACUGACAUGCAUUUACUUUAUUAACGUCAUUAAUAUUGUCCAUAUUUAACCAAUAACCCCUAAUUUUUCUCAAGAGGAUUAAUGUUUAAUUACUACUUGUAUUUUUUUUAUUUAAUAUAUGUUUUUAAUUUACUAGUUGUGCACUUGUUAUUUCUUUGUUUGCUUCUUAUGUGUUACAAACAUGUAUCUCCCAAUGUCAUGGAGAUAGAUUAUCUAUUUAACAUAUUGUACGUGUAAGUCUGUUGACAGUCCCCAUGAUCCAAUGUGUAUUUUAUUACAUGUAUAAACAUUGUAACUAUAA